GUAAAAUUUAAAUCGAGAGAUGGCAUAAUCCAUGAGUCAGCCAGACUUUCAGCUGGAAAAAUCUUUAGUAAAUACCUUCCUUCUAAAUUACAGAAAGUAACUUUUCCAUACACACUGUAAACAGCAGACACUCUAACAGAGCAUCGGUUAUGCUCCAUCUCCUAACCUGAAGGACUCUUGUCACACACCCACCUCUGAGAACCCAAGCUCCUCAGUUUUUUUAAUCUUUUGGCCACAUUUCAUCCAAUUACCAUCAUACCUUUUAUACGUUAGAUUUCCAAGGAGGUAAGUGAAUCACGUAAUGGGGGUGAACUGUACCCAGUCAAAAUAACCUUAUCUGACUUUUUCUAUAUUUUUGAUAUUUUUUCUCUAAAUAUUAAGUCUUUCUCCCAAGCUCAUGUCUAUUCCUUCCUAAAAGUCAAAUUGACAUGAAGUGAAAAAUGAUGUGUUGCUUCUGAAGACAAUGGAUUGCUUGGCAUUUGGGAUCUUUCCUUUAAAACUGAUAAUGCUUCCCCAAUUCAGUUCCAUCUACCUGACUGACUAGAACAUUUACUGUGGUACAUUUUCCAGGUUUGAUAGGAAAAUGCUAAGCGUUGUAUGACACAGAUAUUCUUGCUCACAGGCACUCUACCAGCCUUUGAAAAAGUCAAUUUAGGCUGGACGCGGCUGCUCACGUCUGUCAUCUCAGCACUUUGGGAGGACAAGGCAGGUGGAUCACGAGGUCAGUUCGAGACCAGCCUGACCAACAUGGUGAAACCCCAUCUCUACUAAAAAUACAAAAAAAUGAGCUGGGUGUGGUGGUGGGCACCUGCAAUCCCAGCUACUCAGGCGGCUGAGACAGGAGAAUCGUUGAAUCUGGGUGGUGGAGGGUGCAGUGAGCCGAGAUUGCGCCGCUGCACUCCUGCCUUGGCGACAGAACGAAACUCUGUCUCAAAAAAAAAAAAAAAAAGGCCAGGCACGGUGGCUCGCAGCUGUAAUCCUAGCACUUUGGGAGGCUGACGUGGGCAAAUCACGAGGUCAAGAGACGGAAACCAUCCUGGCCAACAUGGUAAAAC
rnacentral:lncRNA from 1 species